UGGGAUGAUCCCUCUCGUCUGCAUACCCUUUCUCACCUGCUGGUAGGCCUCGCGCUGCUGCUCACGCUGGCAGACGGGCAGUGUGGGCUGGGGGCCAACAUGGGUGGGACAGGGCCCCUUCACCUCCACACACUCUACCUGCUCCUCUCCUGGGCUGCUCGAGGCUCUUUGAGACACUUGUCCUCUGAGAGCCCAGGACACCCUCUCUCGGAGGUUGGCCCCACGGCUUUCCAGGACCAAGAGGCUCUGACAUUGCACGCAGGGCUCCAGGGGCAGCUGGCCUCAACCUGAGGUGGCCACCCCAUCAUCCCACAUUCAGAAGCCACAUGGGGUGAGGAGGCAAGUGGCCGAGCCUGCUGACACCCUGUGGAGAGAGGCCUGAACCCAUGGGACCCUGGGCUGAGCCCUAAAAGCCAGAGGGACCAACAGAAGAGCUGGAGAUCCUCUUCCCUGAUGAGAGCUACACCAAACACGAGAACCAGGAGCACCCCAGGAAGCCCCAGUGAGGAAGCCUGGGCGGGAGUGGCUGGGAAGCUGCACUUCCCCAGGCAUGGUAGGAUGUGGGUGGGGGCACAGGAGCCGUCAGCCUCCCAACAGUGCCUAUAAGUGUCAGUCCCGUGGCCUGUGAACACUCUAUCCACAGACCAACCUCUGCGGGUACCCCCACGGCAGCUGGGGUCCCUCUGGCUCAGGUCCCAGCCUCAUCACCUGGAUGUGUGAGGGCCCACCAGGGCCCAUAUGUGAAGGGGGACAAGGACCCCCGCCUUGCAGGGACAUUCUGAGAAUCUGUGUGUGAGACACUGGGCACAGGGCCACGGCCCAAUCCUUCUGGGCUCCUGUUUUCUUCUCCUCCUUCGUCCCGGCAGCCAACCUCAGCACCAAGGCUGCUCCUAAAAGCAGACUCCUCUCCCCACGCCCAGACCUAUCCUGCAGGCCCACAGUGUUCCUGAAGGCCUCCGAUCAAGAGCCCUGACUCUUGGUUAAUGAUGAAUUUUGCCUAGCAACAAUUGCCAAGCAACAGCUCUUCAGAAAGAGAUGUCAAGGUAUUAAACAGAUACUCCACGGCUGGGAUGAGGAAAGACAGGUCAGUGGGUGCUGGGCCAGGCCUGCAUGCAGGACAUCCUCUGUCCAGGCUGUGCUGGUGUUGGGGGCUCCAGUUGGUCCACAGACCUGCUGUGGGGCCUUGGGAAACUCAUGCUGCCCCCUGGACAUCAAACUGGACUCACAGCUGAGCUGUCUUCCAUGAAAGGAGGCAGGGAAGUCAAGAUGGGAACAAGGGCACGUGAUGCUUCUGGAGCCCUGAAAGGCUGUGGCCACGUAACGGAGAGCUCUGAUGGGUUUCCCUGAGUCGCAUCAGGGGACAGCUUGGCCCUGGCAUUACCUGUUUUUCUCUCCUUCAAACCCUUGGCCCUCUCAGUGCCUGUCCCUGUAUGGGACCCGCCACUCACCUGCUCAUUCAUCCACUCAUUCGGUGAGUGCUGACCACUGACUGUGCAUGUGUCAGUCACACUCAGGGAGGAGGAGCCAUGGACCUAAUGGAGCUAUGACAUGGUGUGUCAGAUGGUGGGGCUCAGUGAGCACAGGUAAAGCUAGGAGUGAACCACACACGGAGGCCCGCAGGCUGGCCAUCCCCUUAAGAGGUAGCCCCUGACCCUUGCCAUCAUUCCUGCCCACACUGACCUCUGUGCCACCAAAUGGCCAAAUGGCUUCCAUAAGAUCUAUACCUACAGCCAGGUGCAGGCACACUCACACUUAUGUGUGCAUAUACCUACCUAUCAUAUAUGUCAUCCAUGUAUCUGUCAUACAUUCCCCAACUAAAGGGCAUCCACCACUUCUCUGUACCUGCUGUCAAGUCCACACCCUCACUAUGGCCUUCAAGGCCUGCUCCCAGCCCUGUCCCUGGACACCAUCCCCCAUGUCUCCCCAGCCCAGGUACCAAGGGGAAAGGCACCCCCUCCCAAAGGCAACCUCUGGAGGUGUCUGCUGAGUGGGUACCAGGCUGGAACUGUCGCUAGAAGCCAAUACAUGUUUAGCAACACACUACAGAAGAGGGAGCCACGCUGAAGGAGGAAGGGGAGGGCCGAGGGGCUGCUUUAGGGGA
rnacentral:lncRNA from 1 species